UGAGGAAUAUUGGUCAAUGGGCGGAAGCCUGAACCAGCCAAGUAGCGUGAGGGAAGACUGCCCUAUGGGUUGUAAACCUCUUUUAUAAGGGAAUAAAAUACGGGACGUGUCCUGUUUUGCAUGUACCUUAUGAAUAAGCAUCGGCUAACUCCGUGCCAGCAGCCGCGGUAAUACGGAGGAUGCAAGCGUUAUCCGGAUUUAUUGGGUUUAAAGGGUGCGUAGGCUGUUCUGCAAGUCAGCGGUGAAAGCCCGGGGCUCAACCCCGGAAAUGCCGUUGAUACUGCGGGGCUGGAAUACGGAUGCCGUGGGAGGAAUGAGUAGUGUAGCGGUGAAAUGCAUAGAUAUUACUCAGAACACCGAUUGCGAAGGCAUCUCACGAAUCCGUUAUUGACGCUGAGGCACGAAAGCGUG
rnacentral:rRNA from 1 species